rnacentral:rRNA from 1 species
GAAUGAUGGAAAUUUAAACCCUUUUUAAAGUAUCAAUUGGAGGGCAAGUCUGGUGCCAGCAGCGCGGUAAUUCCAGCUCCAAUAGCGUAUAUUAAAAUUGUUGCAGUUAAAAAGCUCGUAGUUGAAGUUCUGCUGAAAGUAACCGGUCUGCUUUUAAUAAAAGUGGUAUCUUGGUAUGUAUUUAGCAAUGAUGUCCUUUGAAGUGUUUUUUACUUUAUUGUAAUAAAGCAUAUUCAGGACUUUUACUUUGAGAAAAUUAGAGUGUUUCUAGCAG